ACACUCCUGCGGGAGGCAGCAGUGAGGAAUAUUGGACAAUGGGUGGAAGCCUGAUCCAGCCAUCCCGCGUGCAGGAAGACGGCCCUAUGGGUUGUAAACUGCUUUUAUCUGGGGAUAAACCUACUUACGUGUAAGUAGCUGAAGGUACCAGAAGAAUAAGCACCGGCUAACUCCGUGCCAGCAGCCGCGGUAAUACGGAGGGUGCAAGCGUUAUCCGGAUUUAUUGGGUUUAAAGGGUCCGUAGGCGGACUGAUAAGUCAGUGGUGAAAUCCGACAGCUUAACUGUCGAACUGCCAUUGAUACUGUUAGUCUUGAGUAAGGUUGAAGUGGCUGGAAUAAGUAGUGUAGCGGUGAAAUGCAUAGAUAUUACUUAGAACACCAAUUGCGAAGGCAGGUCACUAAGUCUUAACUGACGCUGAUGGACGAAAGCGUGGGGAGCGAACAGGAUUAGAAACCCGGGUAGUCCC
rnacentral:rRNA from 1 species